rnacentral:rRNA from 1 species
GACGUAGGGUGCAAGCGUUGUCCGGAUUUAUUGGGCGUAAAGAGCUCGUAGGCGGCUUGUCGCGUCGUCCGUGAAAACCUGGGGCUCAACCCCAGGCUUGCGGUCGAUACGGGCAGGCUAGAGUUCGGUAGGGGAGACUGGGAUUCCUGGUGUAGCGGUGAAAUGCGCAGAUAUCAGGAGGAACACCGGUGGCGAAGGCGGGUCUCUGGGCCGAUACUGACGCUGAGGAGCGAAAGCGUGGGGAGCGAACAGG